UCACCACACCGAAACAUCAUCAUGACCGACGAGAACAGGACGUUCUGGUCCAUCUCCUUUAACAGCACAGCCAACAUUGCAGAACUUUCGCCCAAUGCAUAAACAAGUACAUUCGAAUCGGAUUUGUGACGACAAAAGGACUUACCCACUGCUACGGUGCAGCUUAUUGUGCUGAAGAUAGGUUGGUGUCACCAUAGCGCUAGCAUCUGGGAGGCGCCGGUCAGAUCUCCGUUGGACACCGGCUAUCCUCACUGAGAUUGAGAGACCACGACCUAUCUGGAGCCCCAACAUACCCACGCGAGUACAGCGCUGGAAGUGGUGCUUCGUCGUUAAGCACCAGAGAGCUCUGUCAUAAUCUGCUGCGCCAUAGUGAAAAGUAACUUAUCCUGCUUAUAAUAUAUCGGCACGGACCGCACAGAAAACACAAUUCUAUUUAUGUGCAACUGUUACUUUCGUGACUACUGGAGUAGCCACGUGACCGUUGCUCAACCACUGUCUAGCAAUAGCCGCUGUUUUCAGAACCAUUACUUAGCAAAGGGUAUUUCUUUUUUUCGCGGUCGUCGCCUAGCAACGGGUCUACAUACCACAAUA